rnacentral:lncRNA from 1 species
UACUCCAUAUAAUCUGGACAAACUCAUUCACUGAAUGGUUAUACAUUCAUUUGGUUAUGUAUACAUUUAUUUGUGUAUGUGCAGGAUCGCAAAACUGGAAUUCUCGUCUGUGAAGCGAGCAAGCCAAAAAGGAUUAUUGCCCUGGGCUGCUCAACAGAGGAACUUCAUGCUGUGCCAAAAGUGCUGUUAAGGUUUCCUAAGGCGCUGCAGGGCUGUGAAGUUUACAUGUCUCGGAUGCCUUGCAAUUAUUGUGCAACAUUACUGGUUCAAGCACAAGUCUCACAAGUCUAUUACUGGCCAAAUUUUGAAACUGAAAUGGCAGAAAGUGAGAAAAGGGAUGCUCUGGCAAAGUAUGCUAAUACCAUCUUUAAAGAAAGUUAUAUUGUUGCAGCACCAUAUGUACCAACACUAGGCAAUCAAAGAAAGAUGAAAAAACCUAAUUCCAACAAAAGAGCAUCUUCUCAUGAUGAUAUAAUCCCAGUUUCAUCUAUAUUUGAUGGGAAAAUUGAUGGGGAAAUUUUAAAGUGUUUUAGCUUGGAGCACCUGAAAGGGGACCAACGGGAAAAAUAUAAAAGCAAUCUUGAUACAGCAAAGAAAUGUUUUGAAACUCUGGCAAGUUGCAAAGAUGAAGAAAUAAUAAUCUUAGAAGAGGAGAAAUCAACUGUGAAGAAUAAUCCUAAAUACACCCAUGCGUUACAGCUCUGUGAUUUAUUAGCAUCCAGAAGCGACAAUAAUAAUGGAGUGGGGACAGUGAUUUACAAGGAAGACAACAUUGUUGCCCUGGGCUACAGUGGAUAUCCAAAAGGGGCAGUGAAUAGUUUAUUUUGCAAGAAUAAAGAUGAUGAUUUUGACAAGCAUGCAAUUGUAUGUGCAGAAGCUAAUGCAAUUAUUAUGAGUUCUGAGGAAGACCUGCGUGAUGCUGAACUCAUCACUACAUGUGAACCCUGCCAGGACUGUCUGAAACUGAUCCAAGCAAAGAAUAUAGCAAAAGUCAUUUGGCCUGUGCGAGACAGAAAUCAAUCCAGAGGAUUAACUGAAGAUCCUUCAGAGGGAGAGUCUGUGGCUUCAGCCGAUGGUGAACAAGCAUAAAGCUCCACAACAUCAACAUGAGCUUUAGGAUCCAACGCCCCCAGGCUCCCCAGUACCUUCAGUGGUGUUGGGAUAAUCACCUUGCCAUGGCAGUCACUCUGCUUGUGCCCACUCCCUUCCAGAAACACACCUCAUACCCAUCCCCCCACCAAAUCUUUUCUUACCAUUGCUUCUGCUGUGCUCUACAGGGGUUUGCUUCUGUCUGUGGCUUAAGGGUGGAAAAGCAUUUGCUUUCGAUGUACCUCUGAGGGGUAGUCAUGUGUGACUGUGCAGUGUCUGUGGCCAUGAAGGCAGUGGUUGUUUUCUGCAGUCCUCAUUCCCUCUGCAGGGUUUCUUCUCUUGAACUGGGGUGUUUGAAUGAGGAUUUCUCCUUUUCCUUCAUUGCAGUUUCCCACCCUCACUCAAAUUUAUUUUAUUUCAUUCAAUCAUCCUAUUUUUCAAUAUAGCUGUAUUAUUUUUUUCUUGUCAUCUUUUUCAGCUGAAAAGCAACUAGUUCCUUGUUUCCUUGUCUCUCUCUGCCCAGGGGUAUUUGGUUCUUGUGUGUCUUUUACCCUCUCCCCUUUUUCUCUGGUGUAAUGUAUAGUUUAAUUUUGUUUCAUAUUCAUGGGCCUCUUUACAUGUCCUCUAAUAGGUUCAUGGCUGUUUUUAAUUGGUCUUUGUACCAUAUUGAUCAUGUUUUAGACUUAAAUUUGAUUUCCAUCCUCGAAACACCAGACCAAUUACUGUGGAAUGUUUUCAUAUUUUUCCAGGAUAAAUCAUUUUGCUCUAAAUGAACCAGGGGUUUGCAGACUGUGGUGCUGACAGCUGCUUUUGUGCUUCUGUUUUGAUUCCCUCAACUGUAGCUUCAAUACUGGAGUUUUUUAGGAUGACCCCAAACACAGAAUCAGCUAUGAAAAUCCUCUUGAUUUUUAAAAUAUCAUUGUAAUAAUGCUAUUUUUUGUGACUUGUUAGCUUUCAGUAACUAUUCCUUUCACACAGCCACUUUAGAGUGAGAUCAUGACAGUAUUUUGCAUGGGAUUAAAUUGGAAGUUAUGCCACUUUUAGAAAAAUAAAUUUGUUUGCACUUUUCA